AGGGGGUGAGAGAGAGGGAGAGAGACAGAGAGACACCUGCAUCCGUGCUUCACCACUUCUGAAGCUUUUCCCCUGCAAGUGGGGACCAGGGGUUUGAACCCAGGCCGUUGUGCAUUGUAAUAUGUGCGCUCAACCAGGUGCGCCACCAUCCGGGCCCUAUCAUUCUUGAAUUUAGGGUGAAGUGAUGACUUUGUCAAACAAGGCAAAAGACUGGAGCACUGGACACACCUGCUUGGUGCUAAUGCCUCUAGACACGCGCACACACCAGGGAGGGGGAGACCACGGCUGUGGUGCUGGGAUACGAGGGUAGCCCUCUUACCAUUAUUAUCUGCUUACCCUCAAUUCCAGGAUCAUUUCAAGCUUUCUGCUAAUUGUGGAACUUGCUUUUCCCCAUUGUGCAAUCAAGUGACUCUCCAUUUAAAAUGUUCUUUUCAAAUGUUACCUGUUUAGCUGCCAUCAAGGAAAAAGAAAAGUAAAUAGUCCUACAGAAGCGGGAUUAUCGGAAGCUUCCUCUGUAGAACAUCUUGGUCAUUUUUUUCUUUCUUUUUUUUCUUUUUUUUGCCUCCAGGGUUAUUGCUGGAGCUUUGUGCCUGCACUCGAACCCACUGCUCCUGGAGGCCAUUUUUCCCAUUCUGAUAUCCUUGUUGUUUACCUUUGUUGUUACUGUUAUUGCUGUCGUUGGAUAGGACAGAGAAAUUGAGAAAGGAAGAGAGGACAGAGAGGGGGAGAGAAAGACACCUGCAGACCUGCUUCACCGCUUGUGAAGCGACUCCCCUGUAGGUGGGGAGCUGGGGGCUCGAACCGGGAUCCAUAUACUGGUCCUUGCGCUUUUGCGCCAAGUGUGCUUAACCUGCUGCGCUACCACUCGAUGCCCCCUCCCCCCCUUUUUUUCUCUAACAACGGAGACCAGGACACCACCCUAGCCACAUGAUGGCUGGGGAUUGAACUCAGACCUGUGUGCAGGUCCUGCACUCCACUGCUGUACCACCUUUAAAAACAAACAAACAAAAAACAGCCCUGAGCAAGGGCCACUUGGAAGUUAUCCCCAACAGCACUUGGGGCCUGAAUGCAGAGUAAGCAGUUCUGCUCCCCGCCCCUCAUCUCUAAGCUGGAAAGUGCAAGUCCCCAAGCUGACAGUGUGAUGACUGUUGUAGAAAUAAAACAGUGAAAGGAUGGGGAGACAGCACAUAAACUCUCCUGCCUGAGGCUCUGGAGUGUGAGGUUCACACCCUAGCACCAUGUGGCAUCACCAGAGCUGAGCAGGGCUCCGGACAAAAAGGAACAAAAAAUAAACAGACUGGUUUUGUUAAUAGAGAAGCC